GCCAGGCAUGGUGGCAUGUGCCUGUAGUCCCAGCUACUCGGGAGGCUGAGGUGGGAGGACUGCUUGAACGCAGGAGUUCUGGGCUAUGGUGCGCUAUGCCGAUUGUGUGUCCACACUAAGUUCGGCAUCAAUAUGGUGACCUCCCAGAAGCAAGGGACCACCAGGUUGCCUAAGGAGGGAUGAACUGGCCCAGGCUGGAAAUGGAGCAGGUCAAAACUCCCGUGCUGAUCAGUAGUGGGAUCACGCCUGUGAAUAGCCACUGCACUCCAGCCUGGGCAACAUAGCAAGACUCCAUCUCUA
ensembl:misc_RNA Metazoa_SRP Metazoan signal recognition particle RNA